GCGGUUUCAGACUGUCUCUAUGAGAAGGUAAGUGCGGUUUCAGACUCUCUAGGAGAAGGUAAGUGCGGUUUCAGACUGUCUCUAUGAGAAGGUAAGUGCGGUUUCUGACUGUCUCUAGGAGAAGGUAAGUGCGGUUUCAGACUGUCUCUAGGAGAAGGUAAGUGCGGUUUCAGACUGUCUCUAGAAGAAGGUUAGUGCGGUUUCAGAUUGUCUCUAGGAGAAUGUAAGUGCGGUUUCAGACUGUCUCUAGAAGGUAAGUGCGGUUUCAGACUGUCUCUAGGAGAAGGUAAGUGCGGUUUCAGACUGUCUGCGGUUUCAGACUGUCUCUAGAAGGUAAGUGCGGUUUCAGACUGUCUCUAGGAGACUGUCUCGGUAAAGUGCGGUUUCAGACUGUCUCUAGAAGAAGGUAAGUGCGGUUUCAGACUGUCUCUAUGAGAAGGUAAGUGCGGUUUCAGACUGUCUCUAUGAGAAGGUAAGUGCGGUUUCUGACUGUCUCUAGGAGAAGGUAAGUGUGGUUUCAGACUGUCUCUAGGAGAAGGUAAGUGCGGUUUCAGAUUGUCUCUAGGAGAAUGUAAGUGCGGUUUCAGACUGUCU